AGGUGCGAAAUUGAAAUUGAAAUUCCAUCGCUGCGAAUUGAACACUCUGUAGUGUUCAUAAUUCUUUUUUUUUUCUCGGAGAAAAAGAGAGAAUGCCAGAAAGAAAUUGAAGGGAUAACGAAGGUUCGUGGAAACGAUUCAUGAUCUGAGUUUCAUAUGAAUUUUUUUUUCCCGUACUCUCCAAUUGAUGAUUUAAGCGUUGAAAAUUCGCCGUUUAGGGUAAAUAUGUAUCACGGAUUUGAACCUGAGUUUCUCGAUUGCAUCAGUUUUAAGUUAAGAUUCUGAUUGGAUGAUAUUCAGUAUCACUGAUACCUUGUAGACAAUAUAGCAUUCAAAGACAUAACAAGAGUUUACAUGCUUUGUCCGAUUUCCUCUAAAUUGGAAUUUUAAAAUUCCUUGUUUACUUAUUUUGUAGGAUGUAAAAGUAACAGCCUUUUGGAGAGUAUCACAGGAAUCAAUGAAGCUCCCAUAAAAUCAAUUUAUCAGCCAAUCAGUGGAUAAACAAGAAGGAAAGGAGUUACAAUGCAGAUUAUUCAAGAACAGAUAGUUUCUGGUAAUGGUAUGAUAGCUCCAAACAGUUCAAGACAAUACCCUUUUGAAACAAAAUUUAUACAAAAAGAAAACACAACUGAAGCAACAGGAUACUAAUGUUGCUGCUACUUUUUUUUUGUGUGUGAUCACUUGCCUAUGAUCAGUUUGGCUCUGGCAUCUCCUUGGUUGAUCUGGAAUUGGUCUCCUAAUCCAAGAUGAGCCAUCAAUAGCCAAACAAAGGUUAUGAGUUCUCCACCUUUGCUGAGCUGAGCUGCGUGUUCUAUAGCUCCACAUUUAGUUGCUGCAUAAGAA
rnacentral:lncRNA from 1 species